UUUGCGCAAGAUCACCAUCAGCCAGCUGAUCGUAACGAGCUCAUUCGUGCUGGCCGUGCUGGCGGUGCUCGACGCGGGUGAGGAGACCGCAAUUGGCAGCGAGCUGCUGUCGCUGUGCAUCUUUUACUAUCCCAAGCUGACCAUCAUCUGUUCGGUGUCGUUGUACUACGCCGUGAUGCUGUUCCAGCAAAACCUGCACUACGCGCUGAACGAGCGCUUGAAGCAGCUGAUAGUGGAGCAUACCGGCGGGUUGGUCGAUAGAGCGCGCGGAUACGCACGGCUGCAGCAUGCGGUGUACGUGCGGAGCAAGCUCAACUAUCUGGCCGAUGCACGCUGCCGGAUCGUGGCGUGCUGCACGGAAACGCACAACCUUUACCAGCAAAUGCUGCUGUCGUGCAGCUUUCUCUGCAUGACGUUCAUCGUCACGCAGGUAAUGGGACGGUUUUAACACGCACGAGUAAGACUGUGGGGGUUCGUCGCUUACUGAUUGUGGUGUUCGUUUUUUUUUUUGCGCAAAGUUGUACCAUUUUUUCGAGCUACUGUACCUACACUAUCGGACGCGGAGUGAGCUGUCUUUUGCCGCCCUCGGACACGAAACGUUCACCUGCCUGUUGUGCUACUUUGAGGUGUACUGCAUUGCCGAGGCGUGCGAGUUGGUACGCGAGCAGGUGCGUUUAGACAAGCAGGACUACGAAAAGAGAGUUGAAUUAACGUUAAAACACUAACCUUUAGGAUUACAUUUCAACUGCCUUUUCUACUUUUGCACAUUGGUCGAUACUAACUCUAUUCCUCUUUAUCUUUUCACAGUCACUAAAAACGCAAAAGCUGCUGCUACGUCUGAACCUCAGCCCGAUGGAUCAUAAACUUAAGCAAAGCGUAUGGAACUACUGUUACUUUCACAGCUGCAUUUGACGAUUAUUAAUCGGUUUCUUCCAUCCCUUACAAAUCUGUUUCCAGAUCGAAGUGUUUGCUCUACAAACGUUACACCAACCGAUUGAAUUCACCGCCUGCCGUAUGUUCACUUUGGAUUACACGGUGUUGUUUUCGAUUGCGGCCGCCGUCACGAACUAUCUCAUCAUUCUGAUCCAGUUUGAAAUGGCAAUAGAGCAGUAGUUUAGCUGUGCGUUGAGUGAGAUAUAUUCCUAAAAAUAGAGGAAAAUGCUCGUUAAAUAAUGUUUGUUUCAAUUACACAUCGGAGAUUGAGAUGACUACCUUUACCUGUUAAGAUACUGCAUCGGAGUUUCAUUGAAUUCGGACAAAGGACAACGCACACGCGCAUUCGUAAUAGAAUAUAGAUAUAUAUGUGUAUAUAUAUUUUUUGAAAUAAUAACAUUUCUCACGUGUUUGUUUGUUUGUUUUUUAUCUUGCUCGACAAUUCUUGCUUAUUAUCUUGGACAACGGUCAGAGGGCUUUUUAAACAUACCGUGUGUUUGUGUGUGUGUGUGUGUGUUUCUAUGUGCCUUCUCCGUCAGCUUUAUAAAUGCUUUAAACUUGCUGACCCAACAAAACCACGAAAGACGCGAAUAAAUGCGAUCAAGAAGGGCUAUAUAUGUGUGUAUUAUACCCGGCAGAAAGGCUCAUUCUACAGGAGAGGAAACAUCCUACACAAAGAGAAUCUCUAUAUCGAUGCGCUCAAGAUCGUGCAAGCAGUUUAGAAAACAGUGGUACAUGAUGAAGCUUGAAGCCCUACUAUCUCUACUGCCGCAUUAGUCACAUUUUCUUGCCCUUGUUUUCGAUUAUUAUCACACGCACAUCCAUUAAAACACGCGGCAUACAUCUACGAGAACACAGAUUGCAUCAUCCAUCGGGAAUACAUGGGAAGUAUGCGCUUUCGGUUGCUUCUUUUUAGCUUGUUUACCUUUUUUUUACAUAAAUGCUACGCGAAUCGAGGUAUGAGAGACGGCGUGGUUCGUAGGUAAGUAAAUCAGGGGCGGGACAAAAUAGCGUCUCGUACCUACUCGUACUGGAAUGCCUGAGGUGUCCACAGCAUGCCCUCCCACUAAUGCAUUACUAGGCGCACCAAAAAUUAAACAAUAAAUAACGAAUCUACACUGUAGCCGCAAAGCGUUGAUUAUCGAAAGUAUUAAAUACAAUGCUACACACAAAAAUGAUUCGCUAGCCGUGGGCGGGGAUGAUUUCCAUGUUUUGAUUGUUUCAAGCUUGUUCAAUUUGGCGAUCGAGAUACCGAACGGAGUGUAGGAUUUUAAUUGUAGUGUUAUCGCAAAAGGUGUUUACAAAUUUACUGUCCCGGCAAUAUUCAUCUUUUGGAGUAAGAUUUAAGCACAGCAUUGAACGUAAUAACGGAACAUACGAUUGAUUUACCUUAAAACUGUUGUUAUGAUACUUGUCUCCUUUUUUCCAUCCAUCCUUCCUAUCUAAUGCAAAACAUCGACUUCAUCUACUUCCUCCUGCACACACGGAUUCCCGUUCAAAUCCGUUUUGUUUUGCGGCACACGCUCUUGCGCCUUUGAUUAUCUUGUUCACCCCUUUCCACCUUUUCAGCACGGCGCGCUUCCUCUCUAGUGAUCCAAAAUGGAAAUAAAUUUAUAAGACUUUUAGUUUUGUAUGCAUAUACCAUAUUUGUAUAGUCUAAUAGAGUUCACGUGUUCUAACCUAUGAAAAAAAUGUAACAAUAUCCUUUGCGCCGGCCCUGCGCACGAUCAACAGAGUAGAGAGAAAGAGAAUGUGUGUGAGUGAGAAAGAGAGAGAGAGAGGGAGAGAGAGAGAG